rnacentral:misc_RNA from 1 species
GCUUUUGUCGAGAACGCGUGUAAAUUCACUCCAAGUUCGUAGCCCGCGAACGGAUUUCAACUUUUCAACUUUACUGCACUGAAGUUCUUUUUUGCCCUUGUUUUCAAAGUUUUUACUUUAGCGAUAAAUUUCAUCUGCGCUAUGAUUGGGACAGUUUUUAUGCUCUGCGUAUCGUUCGGUUUAACGAACUGUCAAGUUUUCGCCGAUAAUAAUAAGUUUUGCUACGCCAGUUACUCGGAGAGUCAAUUACGUUCAUCAAACACUCUCGGAACACAUCGGACAUCGCGGACCGAGAACCCCAUUUAUUCCCGAAGAGCAGUACCGGUCUCACGAGGUUCUUCAUGGUGGACCGACUUCCCCGUUCUGCCGUUGGUAUUCGCUAAUUCAAACACGAUUCCGAAGGGUCCUUGCAGGGAGCAGGUGCAACGGUACCUCAAGGGUCUUGCCAAUUCCACGCUGUGGGCCGUCCAGAUGUUCGACGCCUCAACGAAGUAUCCAAACGGCGUGCUCCACGGUCAAACCAAACAUUUGGGAAGCUUUGACCAAUGCUACAACUUACGCGCUGUACUUCCACCGGAUGAAUUCUCUGACAUUGAAGAGCCUGACGAAGUCGAGGGUCGCUACUGUUUAGUUCGCUUGCGUUACCAGCGGAAAGAUGUGGUACCGAAACGCCCGCAAUCCUUCAACCUUGACUUCGAUCCAAACCUAUCCGUCUGGAACGCGAUUGAGUACAGGGGAGACUUUCGCCGUGUCAAACGACACUCUGUGUACCUGUCGCUUUGCGUUCCGGCUAGCUGCAGUUCUCAAGAUGUUACGACGGCGUUGACGGAGCCCUUGAAGGAGUUGGCGAACGCCCGACAGAUAGACCUGGACGUUACAGUAAAGCCUUCGCUUUGCCAGGCACGUAGUGACGUCCCUGAGGAUUUUACCGUAGGGUUAAAGGUUUUUCUUUUCAUCGUUGUGGCAUUGUUUGUCCUUGUGGUAGCGAGUUCAUGGUACGACAGCAGCGUCUAUUCUCCGGAGAAAGCGAUCAAGGGCAACGAACCCAGAGACCUUUUCCUAUGCUUCUCCGCACGGCGUAACUUGCGCUCGAUUUUUGACACUGGAAAUAUUCACCCUGGUCUCGAUUGCAUUCAUUUGAUCCGUUUUUUCUUAACGGCAUUCGCAAUAUUGGUUCACAGAUUGAUGCAGUACUAUGGCUACCCGCUCGUGGAAUCAACGUACCUCGAAAAGGCCUACACCGUACCCUUUUCCAUGAUAGUAUUCAACGGACCGAUCAUCGUUGACGGAUUCUUUGGUAUCGGAGGUCUUCUUUUGGCCUACGGUGUGCUCCAUGAACUUGAUCGGCGUAAGCGGUUGGAUUUUACCGCGCUUAUACUGAGCAGAUUUCUACGGUUGACACCACUCUACAUGCUGGUCGUCUUAUUCAAUGCUACCCUGAUGCCGAUGAUGGGAUCCGGUCCAUACUGGGAAUCCAGGGUGGGUUUUGAAAGAGAUAAUUGCGUGAAAAACUGGUGGACUAAUCUCUUGUACAUCAACAACUAUGUGCGUCCCAAUGAGAUGUGUAUGUUUCAAUCCUGGUAUUUAUCCGUGGAUUAUCACCUUUACAUCACGGGACUCUUUGUCUUAUGGGCUUAUUGGCAUCUUCCAAGAAGACUGGGCUACCCGUUCCUCUGUGGUUUGAUCGCACUGGGCACUGCCAUUCCCUUCGUCAUCACCUAUGUUCAGGACCAGCAGCCAAUAUUCCUGGGAUUGCCUUUCAUGGUGGAAGCUAGGAGAGAUCCAUAUUUCGUCGGUCACUAUGUUAAAUCACAUAUGAGAAUCGGUUCCUACAUGGUUGGCGUAUUGGCUGGGGCAAUUGUCUACGACCAUAAAAAUGCCACGUGGAGACUCCCCAAGGCUUGGUCACGAGUUCUUUUUAUUUUACUGGCCGUCGGAUUCCCUAUCAUCAGCCAGGCUCUGGCCGCCAAGUAUUUCGACCCCAAUAGCGAGCUACACCCACUUGAGACGGCGGCCUACGCUGGCUUCCACAGAACAGCGUAUGCUCUUGGAAUAUGUUCGAUCGUUGUUCUGAUCACAAUUGGCGAUGGUUUGGACUUUCAUUACAACUUUAUGACACCACGUUGGGUUCCGCCCCUUGCAAGACUCGCUUACGGUGCUUAUCUUCUCCACAAUAUUAAGCAAAUCUAUGACAUCGGUGCUACUAGAAGCCCCCGCGUAUUUUCCAUUAACAACUGCCUUUGGGAAUUCGUGUCAGACAUGGUCUACACUUUCGGUAUAUCCCUGCUGCUGUCGGUGGUUGUCGAAGGGCCGAUACGAAAGAUCGAAAAGUUCAUACUCACGAAACGACCAAGCAAAUGUCCCGCUGAAGGAUCAAAUCCCUACGGCAUCAAAAAGAUCAACUGAAAAUGACCCGAACGAAAUUAUGCGAAUUGUCUCCUUGUACAUUGUAUAAUAUAUGCAUAGGUAAACUCGUAGUCCGAACAUCGACGUUGUAGUACGAAUACUUGUAUAUACCCUAGUUUGUGAUUUUGCAUCAUGUUAUUAUUAUAUAUACAAUCGUUCAUCUCGAUUACCAUAGGAUUCAUAUAUUAUACAAAUGACACAAUGACAUACAAUUCUAGUGCUAUAUCCUGUAAUACAUGCGUACCCACAGGAUUUGGGGUUACCUAGAACGAGGAUGUGAUAUAAAAUUUCAUAAGCAAGUAAGUCGAUCGUAGCAAGCCAACACCGAGAAGGAUGAGUUAUAUAUCAACUAAAAUAAAUUUGUGGUUUGUACUUAACUUGCGCGCGUGUAAUUACACACUGAUCGUAUUUAUAAUUGUUAUCAAAUACCAAACUGACGGGGUUUCUCUCCGUAAAUUUAUAAAAGUAGUAUGAGUAAAUUUCAGGAGAAGAAUAAAAACCGGAAGGAUACACCCGUAACCUGACACAUGCAAACUCACCAACGUUGCUAACUAAUGAAGAAGUUACACGGAUAUUUCUGCUUCAUUCUGAAAAAAAAAAAAUAAUAAUAUUGAAUUUAUAGAACAAACGGAGUUAACAGGAUUCAAAAAUCAGGUAUAUCUGCGGAUAUUUAGUUCUUCAAUUUUUUAGGCACUGAUGUCGAUUUCCACGCAUAUUCACCGUAAGGAUGCGAAUUCCAAAUUUUCCACAUUAAUGGAGGGUUUACCUGGAAAGAGUACCUACAAAAAGUCCUGACCGUAGAAGCCUGCCAUUUUUUUACAAUGUUUUUCCGAUAGAACAUUAAACAAUGUGUAUUACAUGACGUAGGAAUUUUUAUUUGAAUAAAAUUUAUCAAAUUCUUAUCACAGUUCACUUUUAAUCCAUUGAAAGAAAAUAGUACAUUACGCAACAAGGGAAUAAUCGACUUUUAUUCACGUACCGCAGGACCCUUAUAGAACUUUAUUUCCGACUCAACUCUGGCUACAUUAUUGACUUGAUUAGUGGGACAUUUUUUGCAGUAUUGUGCGUAGAAUUCUUCUUCAAAUGGAUCAGACCUACGCUGUUCUAUCGUACAGCACGCCUGCCAAGAAUUUAGGAAACCGUUUACCGUUUACGAAAACUUAUUUUUUCAACAAUCAACGUUUACCGUAUCAUGCUGAUUCUUCAUUAUCUCGUCGAUAAUUCCAAACUUAUUAUUCACGUAAGAUAAUGCAAAACUGUGGAUGUUGUACGUGACAGUUAAUAACGCAACUUGCAAAUCUUUAUUUUACUAACGUCGUUUGCUUAUCUAAUAACCUUCGUUUGAUAAUUGUACCGCAGGUAUUUUUUCAGCUAGACCUCGACCGACGAUGGAAAAUCCCCUGCCUAGAGUGGCACCUCUCCACUGGAAUGGCAAUAGUUUUUUGGGUUCAAGAAGAACUUUCACCUGAACUCCCAGGCUUUCUGACACGAGGAAACUUCAACCUGUUGAUCUCGGUUGACUGACCAGAAUGAAAUCGUUAUCUGCCGAACUUGACUGCAAUUAUCACCGUAACAGUAAUUAUGGAACUAAUGCUGGCUAUCUUCUGAUGGUAAUGCGGAUGUGCUAAAUCUUAAAACACUUCGUGAUACACCAUCAAUUAUUCCGUCAUGGUUAUUUUCAAAGUUCUUUCAUCACUUCUACGAAUAGCACCUCUGUACACUCUGGACACGGCAGAAGCAAAAUGUUUGUCAAAAAGUUACGACCAUCGACAUAUAACGGCGAGAGACAUUGAGAAUUUGUUUAAAGCCAUUUCUGGACAUACCUGAGUGCGUGAAAAUUUAGGAACUACGUCUGGAUUAUCUAGAACGGUUGGAAGCAAGACAUUGUGUACAUUUUUACGACUACCUGAAACUGUUGGAAUAAAAAAUUAAGACGGCAAGUCAAGUAUUUUCAUAAUAGUUUGAUAGUGAAUUUAUUUAAAUCUACGGGUUCACAAUAUCGACAUGCUGAAUUCAUUAUAUGCUUAAUAUCUAAUGUGCUAAAUAUAAUAUAGGUUCUUAGUUAUUUAUUACAUUGAUUGAUGAGACAUAUUUCAAAAGUGUUUACCGAGGCUCAACGAUAUCAAGUCUGGUUUUCUAAUUUGAAAAACCGCGUCAGCUAAUGGUAUGAGUAUAAAAAAGAAAAACGAUAAAAAGGAGAAAAAACAACUAUCAAUACUACUGUUUCACGCAAAGUUGUGUUAGGCAAUUAACAGAAUCAUUUCUUACCGUGGAUAAAGAUUUAGAUAUAUGUAUAUUUAUAUUUCAAUGCAUAUGCAUACGCAUACGAGUAUAAUGGAUAGAUAUUUAUAUAAAUAUAAUCAUGAUAUAGCUCGUCAAGAUCUGUAUAUAAUUCUCUCGCCUACACUCUACACAAUCAACAGUCAGCGAAUAGUUCAUAAUCCGUACUAUCAUUACUUGUAAUAAUAUGAGAAUACCAAUUAUUCAUACAUACAGCAAUGAUCAGCCGUCUAGUGAGGAUUAUAUUAACAUCUUGCGUUCUGCCCUCCGCUAAGCGUUAGAUCAAGUCUCUGAAUAAUGCGUUA